AACACAUGCAAGUCGAACGGACAGACAGAGAGCUUGCUCUCUUGAAGUUAGUGGCGAACGGGUGAGUAACGCGUAGGAAUCUGCCCCGAACUGGGGAAUACCCAACCGAAAGGUUGGCUAAUGUCCCAUGGUCCCGCAAGGGUAAAGAUUUAUCGGUUCGGGAGGAGCCUGCGUCCUAUCAGCUUGUUGGUGGGGUAAAAGCCUACCAAGGCAAUGACGGGUAGCUGGUCUGAGAGGACGAUCAGCCACACUGGGACUGAGACACGGCCCAGACUCCUACGGAGGCAGCAGUGGGGAAUAUUGGACAAUGGGGGAAACCCUGAUCCAGCGACGCCGCGUGGGUGAAGAAGGCCUGCGGGUUGUAAAGCCCUUUCGACGGGGACGAUGAUGACGGUACCCGUAGAAGAAGCCCCGGCUAACUUCGUGCCAGCAGCCGCGGUAA
rnacentral:rRNA from 1 species